GGGUUCUGUCGUGGACAAUCAUUCNUCUAGGCGACGAAUUACUCCGUCGCUCAAGCAACCUACCCGAACUCUCGGCGGGCCACCGANUGAGUUCCUAUUUGGUCUUGCUACGAGUGGAGUUUACCUUGCUGCC
rnacentral:misc_RNA from 1 species